rnacentral:misc_RNA from 1 species
GAUGAAGAACGCAGCGAAAUGCGAUAAGUAAUGUGAAUUGCAGAAUUCAGUGAAUCAUCGAAUCUUUGAACGCAUCUUGCGCUCCUUGGUAUUCCUUGGAGCAUGCCUGUUUGAGUAUCAUGAGCAAAUCUCAAAGUCAAUUCCUUUUGUUGAUUCAAUUGGUUUUGCUUUGGACUUGGAGGCCUUGCAGAUUUCACAGUCUGCUCCUCUUAAAUGCAUUAGCUGGAUCUCAGUAAUUAUGCUUGGUUCCACUCGGCGUGAUAAGCAUCACUCGCUGAGGACACUGUUAAAAAGGUGGCCAGGAAAAUACUGAUUGAACCGCUUCUAACGGUCUAUUAAGUUAGACAAUUACCCUUAAGUUUGAUCUCAAAUCAGGUAGGACUACCCGCUGAACUUAAGCAUAUCAAUAAGCGGAGGA